AGCCAUCCUACCGAGAAUGAAGACAUGAACGUCGACUUGAGAACAACAAACAUGCCCGACAUGAUCACUUCCAAGGAAGUGGUCGUGUCUAAAGCUGGCCCUGACGGCAGGUCGACUAUGUACCGGUCUAAACUACGUGCCUCUUCGCCGUCCUAACCAGGGGCCGUCCCCGCUGUCGUGUGAAGAGACUUCUCACAUGUGAGCGGGUCUCGCUUAUAGACCUCCGUCAAUGUUCUUCAAAGGCCCGCCAUCAUCGUCUCCAUCGGUCGUUGAAAAAUGCUCAACCAAUUGCGUCGUGCCUUACACCCUCCCUCUCAUUCUCGCCGACCACGUUGAGGACCCCCCUCGGCGGCAGCCACUCUCCCAAUUGCCGUGCUCUCGGUGGUGUAAAUAAAGUGAAUCAGUGAAGACA